CAAACGGAUCACCUCCACUUUCUCCUUCGGUAAAACAGACGCCUUCGGGAAGAAGUUCUCGCGUCUGUUUCACUUCGAAGAAAAUGUCUGAUAUUGACAGACAAGCUCGCCGAGAAGCUCAUCUUGACAAGAAGCGAGAAGCGGAACGAAAGCAGAUAUAAAUUGAGAAAGAUGUGGAGGAGGCAAGAAAAAAGAAAGAAAUGGCAAAGAUGUCAAUUCUGAAGAAAAGAGAAGAAGACAGAGGUGAGGGAGAAAGAAGUGGAAAAUAAGAAGAACUAAAAAGAAUAGAAGAAGAGGAACAAGGAAAAGAGAUAGAGAGUGAAGAGAAACAGAAAGAAGGGGAUGGUAAAGAUAAAGAAAUGGAUAUAGUUCCUCCCUCCGAACCUUCAGCUGUAG
rnacentral:lncRNA from 1 species